rnacentral:rRNA from 1 species
CCUACGGGCGGCAGCAGUGAGGAAUAUUGGUCAAUGGGCGUGAGCCUGAACCAGCCAAGUAGCGUGAAGGAUGACUGCCCUACGGGUUGUAAACUUCUUUUAUAAAGGAAUAAAGUGCGGCACGUGUGCCUUUUUGCAUGUACCUUAUGAAUAAGGACCGGCUAAUUCCGUGCCAGCAGCCGCGGUAAUACGGAAGGUCCGGGCGUUAUCCGGAUUUAUUGGGUUUAAAGGGAGCGUAGAUGGCUUGUUAAGUCAGUUGUGAAAUUUUGCGGCUCAACCGUAGAAUUGCAAUUGAUACUGGCAGCCUUGAGUACAGUGGAGGUAGGCGGAAUUCGUGGUGUAGCGGUGAAAUGCUUAGAUAUCACGAAGAACUCCGAUUGCGAAGGCAGCCUACGAAACUGCCACUGACGUUGAUGCUCGAAAGUGUGGGUAUCAAACAGGAUUAGAUACCCGAGUAGUC